rnacentral:rRNA from 1 species
GAGUUUGAUCCUGGCUCAGAAUGAACGCUGGCGGCGUGCUUAACACAUGCAAGUCGAACGGUAACAGGAGAGAGCUUGCUCUCUUGCUGACGAGUGGCGCACGGGUGAGUAAUAUAUAGAUAAUGUGCCCCUUGGACCGGGAUAGCCAUUGGAAACGAUGAUUAAUACCGGAUACUCCUUCUUAUCAAAAGAUAAGUUGGGAAAUGGAUUCCGCCAAGGGAUCGGUCUAUAUCCCAUCAGUUAGUUGGUAGUGUAAGAGACUACCAAGACGAUGACGGGUAGCGGGUUUGAGAGGAUGAUCCGCCACACUGGUACUGAGACACGGACCAGACUCCUACGGGAGGCAGCAGUGAGGAAUAUUGCACAAUGGGGGAAACCCUGAUGCAGCAACGCCGCGUGGAGGAUGACGCAUUUCGGUGUGUAAACUCCUUUUAUAGGUCAAGA